rnacentral:rRNA from 2 species
CAGGACGAACGCUGCGGCGUGCUUAACACAUGCAAGUCGAACGGUAAGGCCCCUUCGGGGGUACACGAGUGGCGAACGGGUGAGUAACACGUGGGUAAUCUGCCCUGCACUUCGGGAUAAGCCUGGGAAACUGGGUCUAAUACCGGAUAUGAACUCCUGCCGCAUGGUGGGGGUUGGAAAGUUUUUCGGUGCAGGAUGAGCCCGCGGCCUAUCAGCUUGUUGGUGGGGUAAUGGCCUACCAAGGCGACGACGGGUAGCCGGCCUGAGAGGGUGAUCGGCCACACUGGGACUGAGACACGGCCCAGUACUCCUACGGGAGGCAGCAGUGGGGAAUAUUGCACAAUGGGCUGAAAGCACUGAUGCAGCGACGCCGCGUGGGGGAUGACGGUCUUCGGAUUGUAAACCCCUUUCAGUAGGGACGAAGCGCAAGUGACGGUACCUGCAGAAGAAGCACCGGCUAACUACGUGCCAGCAGCCGCGGUAAUACGUAGGGUGCGAG